rnacentral:rRNA from 1 species
AUUGAACGCUGGCGGCAGGCCUAACACAUGCAAGUCGAGCGGAGCGGCGGACGGGUGAGUAAUGCCUAGGAAUCUGCCUGGUAGUGGGGGAUAACGUCCGGAAACGGGCGCUAAUACCGCAUACUAUCAGAUGAGCCUAGGUCGGAUUAGAUAGUGGGUGGGGUAAAGGCCUACCAAGGCGACGAUCCGUAACUGGUCUGAGAGGAGGAUCAGUCACACGGGAACGUAGAAACGGUCCAGACUACUACGAGAGUCAGCGGGGGGGAAUAUUGGACAAUGGGCGAAAGCCUGAUCCAGCCAUGCCGCGUGUGUGAAGAAGGUAUUGGGAUUGUAAAGCACUUUAAGUUGGGAGGCGUUACCAACAGAAUAAGCACCGGCUAACUUCGUGCCAGCAGCCGCGGUAAUA